UGGAACUUUUUUCUGUAAAAGGGUUGGAUCCGAUGCCCCUAGGAGACUACUAUAGGCUCUCCUUCUCAACUCCUACUCAAUACGUCCACGUCGUGCAGAACGGUAACUUGUCGCCCAGAUCCAAGCUUGGGUACACGGGGAAACCCA
rnacentral:ribozyme from 1 species